rnacentral:rRNA from 1 species
UCCAGACUCCUACGGGAGGCAGCAGUGGGGAAUAUUGCACAAUGGGGGGAACCCUGAUGCAGCGACGCCGCGUGGGCGAGGAAGUAUUUCGGUAUGUAAAGCCCUAUCGGCAGGGAAGAAGAAAUGACGGUACCUGAAUAAGAAGCACCGGCUAAAUACGUGCCAGCAGCCGCGGUAAUACGUAUGGUGCAAGCGUUAUCCGGAUUUACUGGGCUUAAAGGGAGCGCAGGCGGCGCGCCAAGUCUGAUGUGAAACCCCGGGGCUCAACCCCGGGCAUGCAUUGGAAACUGGCGGGCUGGAGUGCCGGAGGGGUAAGCGGAAUUCCUAGUGUAGCGGUGAAAUGCGUAGAUAUUAGGAGGAACACCAGUGGCGAAGGCGGCUUACUGGACGGCAACUGACGCUGAGGCUCGAAAGCGUGGGGAGCAAACAGGAUUAGAUACCCCGGUA